GGGAAACUAGGAAGUGGUGCCUGGAGACAAGGACAGAAUAGGCGAGUGUGGGGUGAGAAGAUCCUUAGGCCUGAGUGAGACAAGACUUCUCCCUUAGGGUGCUGACGUUAAGAAGUGGGCCUUCGCAUUUAGCUACUCAUCACAUUAAAAGUGUACGUGGCUUGAGCAAAAAAGCAAGGCAUACUACAUUAUAACUCAAAGCCUAAAAGUAUUAAUUCAAUAUUGAGUGGCUAUUGGCAUUCCAUAUUCAGUAAGUGGAAAAGAGAUACAUUUCCCCUAGAAGACAUAGGCUGCCUUGGAGCACAACUGGUUUCCUCUUAAGCAUUUUGAACUGCACAUAGCAGCUUCCUGCUGACUAAUGCAGUAUCUAUCGAAGGAGUCACUUUAAACAGGAGAAGCUGGCCAGCCGGGUCUACAGAGUUUGUUCCCAGACUACACAGAGAAACCCUGCCUGGAAAAAGCAAACAAAA
rnacentral:lncRNA from 1 species